rnacentral:lncRNA from 1 species
AAUCUCUCUAGAAGGAUCCCUCAUGACCCGAGAUUUGUCAUCCAGCACCACAGACCUUUAUUUACCCUUCACACAGGAGAAUGGAUGAAGGAGAUGACAGCAGACCAAAAAGAAAUGGCUAACUGUGAGGAGUCAUCAGAUCAAUCUCUCUAGAAGGAUCCCUCAUGGACCAAGAUUUGUCAUCCAGCACCACAGACCUUUAUUUACCCUUCACACAGGAGAAUAGAUGAAGGAGAUGAGAGGAUGAGGAAGCAGACCAAAGGUGCACUGUGCUCAGGACCUACCAGAAGUCGGACAGCGGGUCGUCAGGUGCUGGUGGGAAUGGUGAGUAAAGAGUGGGAUUUACUAUCUAUGCUUAGAUGUA